rnacentral:lncRNA from 1 species
GCUCGGCCAUCCCACCCUUGACAUCAACGCUGGGUCACAGAUGGGCUUCAGCACUCCUGACGUGACCGUGAAAAAUGGAAAACGACACACCGCAGCCGACGCGUUCCUGAGACCCAACCUGCAGCGCCCGAACCUGCGCCUGCAAAGCGGCUCGCAGGUCACUAAGAUCAUAUUUGAUGCUGAUUUGAGGGCCACUGGAGUGGAAUACAAGCAAGGCAGGCGGG